UUUCAUUGAGGCAUCCCAAAUCAUGAUAAUGGCCAUUUUUGUAGCAAUCGUCCUUCUGAUUUCCACUGAGAUUGCUACUGCCACACCACAACUAAAACUUGGUUAGUUGCUAGAUGGCCACCUACAUGGAGACUACUGAUUAUCUUUGACAUAUCCUUUGUAUUUUAAUCCUGUGAUCCAGCACUCAAUACUAUAUAUAUAUAUAUGUAUGUCUAUAUAUAUAUAUAUAUAUAUAUAUAUAUAUAUAUAUAUAUAUAUAUUUAUAGAAAUGGUGACCAGAAAACUCCAAUAAAAUGCACUUAUAUUUUUCAUUUUGCAGGACGAAGGGUUCUUGAAGCUGCCUACAAUACAACCGGGCGUGGAGGAUACAAUUGACUUAAUGAAUUCGUGAUGAAUAAAAUCUCAUCAAGUUAUGGAAUAAGUUGGGGUUGAAGAAAUUGUCCUAUCAUAUUGCGAAUAAGGCAUGUUAUGCUUGAUGCCCGAACCAAGAUGUUCUUUGGUUCCAGGUUAGGUUUGUACUCAGAAGUUCCAGACUAGUAGUGCUGGAAUAUAUGAUAUUGCAUGUGUGAUUUAUAUGUGACUUGUGAGGUAGUGUUGCAUUGUUUAAAGUGAUGGUUAAGUUAUGUUGUCAUGAGAUAGUAGUGUUGAAAAUAUAUGUCGAAUGUUGGUUGGUGUUGUUUAAAGCGAGUUGUCUAUGAUUCACAGAAAUCAACUGUGUAAUUGACUCAGAAGCUUUGAUUUUCC
rnacentral:lncRNA from 1 species